rnacentral:rRNA from 1 species
UGUAAGCGUAUACCAAAGUUGUUGCAGUUAAAACGCUCGUAGUCGGAAUUUGGCAGUUCCGGAUGUGUGCACGUCGUGUGCGCACUUCGCGGGGAUUGCUUUUGUGGUCUUGCGUAGGAUGAGGCACUUUUAUUAGUGAACGUCCUCACGCAACCACUUUUUACUGUGAGAAAAUCAGAGUGCUCAAAGCAGGCAUUUGCCGUGAAUGUAUUAGCAUGGAAUAAUAGAAUAGGACUUGGUUCUAUUUUGUUGGUUUGUUGGGACUGAGUAAUGAUUAAGAGGGACAGUUGGGGGCAUUUGUAUUUCGGUGCUAGAGGUGAAAUUCUUAGAUUAUCGAAAGACAAACUGCUGCGAAAGCGUCUGCCAAGGAUGUUUUCAUUGA